rnacentral:snRNA from 2 species
GUCCUUCGGGACAUUUGGUCAAUUUGAAACGAUACAGGUGAGUUUUAUCAAGACUCUGAGUUCGACUUCCGCUAAUUCCCAUCAAGAGAAGAUUAGCAUGGCCCCUGCACUAAGGAUGGUAAGUUACAGUGAGAGUCGCCUGUCAAACUC